rnacentral:lncRNA from 1 species
GGCUUCUAACGGAGUUUAAAAAAUCAUGCAAAAAUAAGGCAACUGAAGGUUCACUAUAAUGUAUGUGGUAUAAAAUAGAAAAUUAAAUGCUAAGAAUGUAUUUUACUUUUAAAUUCAACCGUGACAUCAAUGGCUGAAUUCCACACGUAAACAACAAAUGGAGCAAUGCUUUCAACAUUGUGUAUGGACAAGAAGCGUUGAACGCUGACAGCUUUUUACAUGUUACUUGAAACUUGUGUCUAAGUACUAUUCAGCGGUGAGGCUAAAAAUCAAUAGCAAAGUCAAAGAACAUUGAUGAUAAAACGUCGCUUAGGUCAAUUUAGAAAGUGAGCUAAAUAUAAAAAAAAAAAGAAAAUGUGGUAUGAUUGCCACUGAGACAACUUUCAACAAGAGAACAAAUGGCACAGAAACUAACAGCUAUAGGUCACCGUACGGCCGCCAACAAUGAGCAAAGCGGCAUAGUCUGUGAUAAAGCCAUUUAUAUAAAAUAAGGAGAUGUAGUAUGGUUGUCAAUGAGACAAUUACUCACAAAAAACGAAAUCACGUUGAUAUUAGCAACGUUUGACCAUC